rnacentral:tRNA from 1 species
GGUAGUGUAGUGCAAUGGUAGAACACUCGAUUAGCAUNUGUGAAGUNUUAAGUUCAACUCAUAACAUUGCCC